rnacentral:misc_RNA from 1 species
UACGGAGGGUGCGAGCGGUAAUCGGAAUUACUGGGCGUAAAGCGCGCGUAGGUGGUUUGAUAAGUUGGAUGUGAAAGCCCUGGGCUCAACGUGGGAACUGCAUCCAAAACUGUCUGACUAGAGUACGGUAGAGGGUGGUGGAAUUUCCUGUGUCGCGGUGAAAUGCGUAGAUAUAGGAAGGAACACCAGUGGCGAAGGCGACCACCUGGACUGAUACUGAAACUGAGGUGCGAAAGCGUGGGGAGCAAACAGG